rnacentral:rRNA from 1 species
AUGAGGCACUUAGCUGCAAACUUCUCCAAGAAGUUUAAAGGGAAUUUUUUUGAUGAGAACUUGUGGCCCCGUUCCCUAACAUUUAUCUUAAAGAAACACAAUUACCAUCUCAGGCAGUUGUAUAGCAAGCCAGAUGUAAAGGAUUAUCUGGAUGAACAUCACAGCAAGAUAUGGACGAAGGCACUGUUCAAUGAUAAGUGCAAGUUAGAUUAUGUGAACAACAGAGUCUUUCAAUUCCAAAAUCAGAAAAUGGAAAGGACUACACAUUGUAGACCUGCUAGAGAAAAUCAGGCAAGUCUUAAUGGAGAAAUUUGA